AGGUAUUUUUAAGACCCACCAGAGAAGGGUACACCAGAUAGUUGGGAUUUAAUUCAGAUUCAGUUUCCCAACAGAAGUGCCCAGUAUCAUAUUUGAGUCUCUACAGCAGCCCCCAGCCUCUAGCUGCCACUCCAGAAGGGAACAGGUUCCAUGAAGCUCUCAUGAAGGUUCUAGGUUUAUGAUGUCCAGGUGUUUCAGAUACCCCAAGAUGUUCCUUGAGAUGUUCCCACUUGGGGCUGGAAGGUAUGGCACAGGUUUAUGAGAGAUCUAUGCCCUUAAGGAGCAGGAGAUGGAGACCUGCUGAGGAGCUGCGGGGUGGAAAAAAUGACAGAGAAGACCAGGCCAACCUGAGGUGGGGCUUGUCUUGGAAACUUUUAAGAGAUUCUGAUCAGACAAAUUCUCCUGGGUCAGGGAACCCAGGCACUGGUCUUUAUAAUCAAUGCUUCCUGCCACUGAACUCCGGUUUAGAAGAAACUGGUUUUCUUCUCUUCUAGACUGGGAAAGUUGACCUUAGGAAGAUCUUCUUGUAGGUUUGGGAGCAAGUUACUUCAUCUCCCUGUGCUGCAGAGGGAGAUGGCAAUAAUCUUUCUACUCUUUGUCUACCAGGAGGCAAAACUUGUUGGUAAGAGGAGUCGUCUCUUAGGUUUGGGCUGAAUUUGGCAUAGCUUUCCGGCAUAAUCUGAAUGCGACUUUGCUCGUACACACAGGGCAACCAUGUUGUUGCUAAAAGGGAAUAUUUUUAAACAGUUUUGUUUGUUUUUUUUCUGGGGAGAAGGGGCUGUCUCUUGCAAUAUUUGCAGACAACCCUUGCUAAAAGGAGAUCUGAUCUCAGGCGCAGUCUCCAACCAGGACUAUAAUUCCGGUGGUGAUAACAAUAAUAAACACGGCAAUAACCAUGCCCAAAUAUAGAGCUUGGCACAGUUUUUCCUGUUCAAAUAUCAGUUCCUGUGACUGUCAUUCUUUGCAGCCUUCCAAAUCCAGGCAUUUGGAUACGGCUCUUGCUUCCAACGAGGCCUUUUGUCCGGCGGAGAUUAUUUCCAGCAGACUGCCCUGCAAACUUCCAUGCUGCACUUCAUCCCUCCAAGCAGGAAGAGCAAAUUCCCAGCUUCACUUGCAACCUGGAAGGCAACAAGGAAAAAUAGAAGAGCCCCAUCAACCUCCUGGAGAUGGACAGGGCAGCACUGAGGAGGAAGAGGAGAGCCUAAGUGAAUUAAAAAGUGGAAAAGGGUGAACCCAAAGGCAACAAUUCUCUCUCUAAACUGGUUCAUAUGGGAUUUUCCAGAGAGAUGAGGAAGGGUGGAUGAUGCUAAGAAGCUUUAAUUCUUCUUCCCCUCCGUGCUGUGACUCUCCAGUGUAGCUCACACCAACAGCAUGCUGUGGUCACACCAACCAUGAAGAUAUGCAUUCAUAUGCAUAAAAAUCGGAUAAAUAUGCAAGGCCUUCCUAAAAAUACAGCAACAACCCUGUGACAGCCGUUAGGCAGCACCACACAGUCCUGGUGCUUGCAGUUUCUCACCUGUCCAGAUAUGCCCUGCAGCUCUUUGCUGGGAAUCACUCUGUUAGGAUUUGGAGAGAGCCCAGAUCUCAAGCUAAACCCAUAAAAUCCAUGCCCAAGACAGAGCCAGCAUGGGCAGGUGGUUUGCUCAGAUGCAAAAAAAAAAAAAGGUCCAGAAGAAGGUGGAAAAACCCUCCUGCAGCCUGGAGUCACCUGCUCUGGGCUGCUCAGAGGUGACUGGUUUCCUUCCAGGUGUCUCAGCCAUGAAUUCCCCUUGGCACUACUGCAGAGAAAUGCCCUGACCUCACGGCGAGGUAAAGGAGGAAAGACCAACACUUUAUCAGCCACAUCCAGUCGUGCCUUGUGACUGCCAGGAUUUAUGGCCAGCCUUAUCAAGUUGAGUGUUUCACAGUGCCUAAACC
rnacentral:lncRNA from 1 species